rnacentral:rRNA from 1 species
UACGUAGGGGGCAAGCGUUGUCCGGAAUCAUUGGGCGUAAAGCGCGCGUAGGCGGCCCGGUAAGUCCGUUGUGAAAGUCAAAGGCUCAACCUUUGAACGCCGAUGGAUACUGCCGGAGCUAGAGUCCGGAAGAGGCGAGUGGAAUUCCUGGUGUAGCGGUGGAAUGCGCAGAUAUCAGGAGGAACACCAAUAGCGAAGGCAGCUCGCUGGGACGGUACUGACGCUGAGGCGCGAAAGCGUGGGGAGCGAACAGG